rnacentral:tRNA from 1 species
GCUCUUAUAUAACGGAGUGGUUAUCAGGCAUGACUAGAAAUCCUGUGGGCUUUGCCCGCACAGGUUCAAAUCCUGUCGACCA